rnacentral:rRNA from 1 species
CCUACGGGGGGCUGCAGUGGGGAAUAUUGCACAAUGGGCGCAAGCCUGAUGCAGCCAUGCCGCGUGUGUGAAGAAGGCCUUCGGGUUGUAAAGCACUUUCAGCGGGGAGGAAGGCGUUAAGGUUAAUAACCUUGGCGAUUGACGUUACCCGCAGAAGAAGCACCGGCUAACUCCGUGCCAGCAGCCGCGGUAAUACGGAGGGUGCAAGCGUUAAUCGGAAUUACUGGGCGUAAAGCGCACGCAGGCGGUCUGUCAAGUCGGAUGUGAAAUCCCCGGGCUCAACCUGGGAACUGCAUUCGAAACUGGCAGGCUAGAGUCUUGUAGAGAGGGGUAGAAUUCCAGGUGUAGCGGUGAAAUGCGUAGAGAUCUGGAGGAAUACCGGUGGCGAAGGCGGCCCCCUGGACAAAGACUGACGCUCAGGUGCGAAAGCGUGGGGAGCAAACAGGAUUAGAUACCCCUGUAGUC